AUUGAACGCUGGCGGAAUGCUUUACACAUGCAAGUCGAACGAUGAACCUUAGCUUGCUAAGGGGAUUAGUGGCGAACGGGUGAGUAAUAUAUCGGAACGUACCUUGUAAUGGGGGAUAACUAGUCGAAAGAUUAGCUAAUACCGCAUACGCCCUGAGGGGGAAGGUAGGGGAUCUUCGGACCUUACGUUAUAAUAGCGGCCGAUAUCUGAUUAGCUAGUUGGUGGGGUAAUGGCCUACCAAGGCGACGAUCAGUAGCUGGUCUGAGAGGACGACCAGCCACACUGGAACUGAGACACGGUCCAGACUCCUACGGGAGGCAGCAGUGGGGAAUUUUGGACAAUGGGCGCAAGCCUGAUCCAGCCAUUCCGCGUGAGUGAAGAAGGCCUUCGGGUUGUAAAGCUCUUUCGCAAGGGAAGAAAACUUACAUUCUAAUAAAGUGUGAGGCUGACGGUACCUUGAUAAGAAGCACCGGCUAACUACGUGCCAGCCGCCGCAGUAA
rnacentral:rRNA from 1 species